UACGUAGGGCGCGAGCGUUGUCCGGAAUUAUUGGGCGUAAAGAGCUCGUAGGUGGCUUGUUGCGUCUGCCGUGAAAGCCCGUGGCUUAACUACGGGUCUGCGGUGGAUACGGGCAGGCUAGAGGCUGGUAGGGGCAAGCGGAAUUCCUGGUGUAGCGGUGAAAUGCGCAGAUAUCAGGAGGAACACCGGUGGCGAAGGCGGCUUGCUGGGCCAGUUCUGACGUGAGGAGCGAAAGCGUGGGGAGCGAACAGG
rnacentral:rRNA from 1 species